rnacentral:tRNA from 1 species
GCUGGGCUGGGCUCAGGGGCAGAGCGCUCGCCUGGCGUGUGUGAGGCCCUGGGUUCGAUCCUCAGCACCGCA